AGGAGACUAGCGCGGUUUUUCCGAGUUCUCGCCUGCAUAAGCCUAAAGCUUGAUUUUUUUCUCCACUAUUGGGGAUCAUUCUUUUGGAAUUUAUAUUCUACUUCCUCACAUUCCAAAUUUUGAUGCAGUUGUUUUUAAAAGGGAUCAGGUUUUUGACUGACGAUAUGAAAAUCCGGAGCUUUCAUGAUGAUAGGAGUUACCAGCAGUCUGGAGGGAAAUCAUUCCGUGAGUUCAGGAGGAAAGAAGUCACAGUAAGCGGAUUUAAAAAACCGUGGAAUAAGGGCUGAUAUCCACUUUGUGCCAUCCUCUUCCUCAACAUCAAAAGACAGUGUCCAAGUGGAGCAUAUCUGGAAAUGCCAAGUGCCCCUGGAGCCUUUUUAAAAAGUAUUUCAGAAAAUAAUUACGUUCAAGAUUAAGAAAAAUUUAAGGAGCUCUUGGGUCAAUGGCGCUUCUGAUCUGUAGUUUGUUGGCCCAUUGGACAAAGUGGCCUUCUCUUUCCAUACAUGAGAAGAAAGAGCGAUGGCUUUCAUUUUCCAUUGAAAGAUGCCUUUACAAUGAUUACCCGUGAAGUUCAAGAUUCCUACUUUUUUACCAUCUUUGACGCACCUGGCUACUGUUCAAUUAGCUCUGGUUCUCUACAAGCGCAAUGACAUUCAAGACUUAUUAGACGAGAUAGAUAAUCGUCAUCCAUCCAUGCGCCAUUUCGACCAACUACUUCCCCACGUCAUCCAUGUCCCCUGCACCAAGGACGAGGCAUGGAAACAGGUAAAGGUGAAAGCAAUGGAAAUAUUCGCUAAUUUACUCCCACUUAAACUUAAGGUCCAAGUAUCUGAAAUGAUUCGCCCCCUGCAUUGGGAAUUAAAAAAAUGGUUGAUAGACCAUAGUUUUGUUGAACCCAAACUAAAUGUCGGAGAGGUUGAAGUAAUUCGAUUUCUGAAUUCCGAAUGUAAAGAUCGAAUAAUAGAUGACAAGCCUCUUCAUUCUUUAAGACGUUUUAAACUUUUACAUUAUGUUUGUUGGAAACCAGAUGGAACAAUUAAUAGAAUUCGAACAGCUGAAAAUUUCAUUCGAUACGAAAGGGACUUCUUAAUGGCUUGCACAUAUUUCAUGGAGAGCCAAAUUUUGGAGACUUGGCCGGACA